GCUUCCCAGAGAUCCAGGAUGACGCCAGUUGGACUCGAUUUGGUGGCAAAGUAAUUCAAGUACCUGUAAUUGGUAAUGGGAAAAUGUGCUGAAUGGGGUGAUUUACGGAUCUAUUUUCCUUUCAGUUUUUACUAAACCUUUUCGUUCGUGCAUUUCUGUUAGUACAGCUGCACCCACUCGGGAAACCGUGGCCGUGAGCCGUUCUGAACAACUAGCCCGCACUUCAUUAGCUUCAGCCCCUGACAGGAGCCGUGAUGCCUUAACUUUGUUGACCCCAACUCUGAGUAAGAUAAUUUAAGAGACAAGCUGUCUGUGGGUCACAUCCUCAACAGGAAACCAAGAGACUUAUGUUUUCUUUCCAGCCCAGGCUCUGAUCAUCUCUGACAGGUUAUGCCAUGCCUUUUGCUUGGUAGUGAUGGCAACGUUCUACAAAGAAGAGGCUCCUGAGGUCUCUUCAUAACUUCACAGCAGCGCUGCGGUUAGCAUGUUAAUCACCCGUCCAGCAUCAGGUCCUGCUCAGCAGGAGGUGAGGACCAAUUAGUGAAUGGAUGUAUCAUUUAGGGGGAUUUAGCCUGUCAGCUUUGCGAAGUGGAUCACAAAACCUGGUAUCUACAAAUGUCAGAUAAGCCCAGGAUGUCUCUCAACAAUGCGUUUGCAAGACCAUGGUGCAAGAUACAAGAGCAGGUAACUCCGUGGUGAACAUAAUUAGUUGCUGGAGGAUAAAACAGCCCCACGCAGGUCCAGCCAUCAGGAAGUCUCGGGGUCUGGCGGAGGGCUCCGCCCAGACGUCAGUGACCCCGCCGCUCCUGCACCUUGGGGCCACUGUCUGUGUUCCAGGAUCAGCAGCCAAGGCUCACUGCGAGGCUCGUGCAAUCACACGGCACAGGGUCCGUCCGGGGGCUCUGGAGGGCACGUUAGAGCAAAACACAUUUUUUUGCCAUAGAACAUAAAGUGGUGUUGGCUGUGAUCACAAUAUUUGGCCUCAGCACCCAAAGCUUGGCAAACUGAGCCUCCGAGGAUUCCAGUGGCUCCUUUAUGUUGACUCCAGCACGUACCAGGACUGAAAAGACUGGUAUGAAAAACAGAAGCAACAAAUGGGAGUUGGAGUCCCUGAAUCCCAAAGCGCUUUCCCUGCACUGGGUAUAGAGCUCUUUCCAAGGGACCACGAGGACAGAGGGCUCCUGACCUCAAGGGCAAAGGGCUUAAACAAAGGGGACCGGAAGAGAGGACUGAAGGCACAUGUUCGUGGUUUUCAACAGAUUUAUGUUGGGAAUGUCUGUCUGCACCCAAGUGGCCAGCACUUCUCUUAGGUAUAAAAUUGGGAGGGGGCGGGCACAGGCGUAGAGAAGUCACACCUCAUCCCACGGCCUAGCGCUACCGCCCACUUACAAGUCCUGCUUGCUUCUUGUCUGGACCGUAACAAUGGGGCCUGGAAGGAAACCCGUCCUGCCCAUCCCUGGCCCGCAGCGGAGGCGGAGUCUGCAGGCGGGGUGGCGGGGUGCGGGGGGGGCGGGGGGUGUCUGCCUGGUGUAGCGCUGCCUCGUGGCCUCCCUGCUGCUUCCUUGCGGUCUAUCCCUUAUGCCAGACUCAUCUUCCUAAAAGCCCAGCGCUGACGUUUCUCUUGCCUUCUCUUAGUAAGUGUUAAAUGGCUCUCCUACCACGUGGAUUCCCAGGUCCUUAUCAGGCCAUGAGGGUCAUCUGCAGGACCUGCCUGAUGGGCUGGCCUGAAGCCCCAGGGAUGCCUGGAGAGCCAGGCCUGCCAUGGAGGAGGGGGUCCCAUGUGCUCCCUCCACCUGACAGCCGGGCUCCUGCCUUUCUCGGGUGGCGCUGGCACGACUGGACCAUUCACUGUUCCUAGCGCCUUUCUUAAGGAUGUACCUUUGAUAGCUCUUCUGCCCUUCCCCUUAACCUCGGUCAGGCAAACACCCCAAAAGCCGGGCUGAAAAGCAUGUUCCCUGAGCACAGCCAUCCGCCUGGAGCCCUCCUCCUACGUCUGCACUAUGCACGCUGGCUGUACUUACGGAUGACUUCCUCUGAUUUCCCAAAUUUCUUGGAGAUGACAGUAUUUUUGUCAUCCUCAGACCUUCUAGGACCCUCAGGGCAGUGCCCUGAAUGUAGGAGCUACUCGAUUCAUAUUUGUUGAAGAGAGGAAGGUAUGUUUUUUGGUAGAGGAAGAGGAUGAAGCCAGUUCCUAACAGAAGCCCACCCUGCAGAGCAGUGUUGAGCUUCCUUCCAGCUAAAUGUGGCUAAAGGCCUCUGCGGAGACUAAAGGGUCGGCCUCCCCGAGCUGACUGCCACCAGGUUGCAAAAGAAAUCAUCUUUCCCCUGUGUUGGCGCAGGAAAGAAAGUCCUUAAACUCAUCACGCUGUGACGCAACACUGUCUCUUCGGUUUAGACAACUGCCCACAUAAAACCUACACGCUCCAGUCACUGCCCAUUAAAAGGAAUCCCUGCCAUGGUGCCCUGGAGAAAAGCAAAGUCUAAAGGAUGAUGCACUGACCCAGUUCCCUUUCAUGCCUAUGCCCGCCCUCGGCACAGGACGGGGAAAGCCAAGACUCACUACAAGUUGGAAACCGGAGGCUUGAUUAGCUGCCACAGAAAAGUUCUUGGCCUAGAAAGCACCAAGCCUCUAACAGACACAAUUGUCUAUGAGUCUAGAUCACCUCACAGAGCCCAAGAAUCUUUUUUUCAAUAAAGGAAAAAGAAGGAUUGAUACAAAAUGGUGGACCAUGUUGGUUAAGAACAGAGACUCUGGAGCCAAAUCCAGUACAAAUAGGAUGCCUUCCCCUUGCUUACUUGGUGAUUUGGGGCAAGUUACUUAACCUUUCCUCAGUUCCUUCAUCUGUGAAAGACUGUACCUAAGCAAGAGAGUACCUGAAUGGAGGGGGUUAAAUGAGAUUAAUCAAAGUACACGAGAGUCUGGCAGAUGGUGAGAACUCAGCCAGGCUUAGCUUAAACUAACAUCAGGUUAUCGUUAUUAUAAAAACAACUUUCCAUUAUGGUUGCGCAAAAAGAAUUGUUCAUAAAAGGGUAAGAUUUGUGGACUUUUAUGGCAGUUGCAAAAUCAGAGAAAGAAGAAAGCAAAGGAGGAGAUUUAAUGAGAAAGUUAAAGCCGAUCUUUCAAUCAAGUGCUGAGCAUGUACCCCCAUCAAAGCUCGAGACUGUAAGCAAACUAGUAGGUUUGUUUCCCACAGUUUCUGUGUAAGUACCAGAUAUCUGAGAGUAAGAAUGCAGCUGAAACUCUCCCCUUCAUCCCUUCUAGUAUGUUCAUUGACUUACAUCAGGAAAUCACAACCAGUGCAGCUACAGUGCAGGGUGUGGGACUGGAUUUGCAUGUGUGUAGACAAGGAUUCGCUGCUUAUCCUAAGGGCGUCCGCGACUCCUAGGACGGGUCUGAGGCUAGGGAUCCCAUCACACAGUCUCCUGAGAGCUUGGGCUGGCUGAUGGAGGAGGAGGUGCACACCUCUGGAGAGUCUUGUUUUUCCCACACACAGCUACAUACAGUGGGACUUGCGACCAGUAUUGUUACGCUGUUAUUUAAUAAAAUCCUGACCAGGUUUUAUUUAUGCCAGCUUCCAAGCUGAGGUUCCUUCUAAGUUUUCAAUGUAAAGGCACUCUCCUAGCCAGGCCGAAGCCUAAUUUGUGUCACGUGGGAUAACAAUGUUCCCUUUCUCCUAUGAAUGCAUUUGAGGCUGGUUUUCCCAAUUCAAUGUUAACAUUACUCUGAGAAUGCACAGACAUGAUGGACUUGGAAAUCUUAUUUACCAAAAGUAAAACACUGAGAGUAAAGUUAUCUGAAAGAGAAUUCAGAAAAAAGCAUUUCCUCCAGUAUGUCUAGAGUAUUUUUCAAAAAAUCCUAAAUAUCCCCCAACUAUUUUGGACAAACGAGUACUAAGAUAGGGUCACUUUCAAGGAAGAGAGCAUCUUCUGUCUAAAUCCCUGUAGUCCUCUUGCAGAUGUCUCCAAGCCUUUAGUUCAGCUUGGGAACCUUACCUGGUAUUUGGCCAGCAAUUUGCUCUUCCAGAGGGAAUGGGCGACGUCAUGAACGGACAGGCGCAGGUUGUG